AACGAACGCUGGCGGCAUGCCUAACACAUGCAAGUCGAACGAGACCUUCGGGUCUAGUGGCGCACGGGUGCGUAACGCGUGGGAACCUGCCCUUAGGUUCGGAAUAACUCCCCGAAAGGGGUGCUAAUACCGGAUAAUGUCUUCGGACCAAAGAUUUAUCGCCUUUGGAUGGGCCCGCGUUGGAUUAGCUAGUUGGUAGGGUAAAAGCCUACCAAGGCGACGAUCCAUAGCUGGUCUGAGAGGAUGAUCAGCCACACUGGGACUGAGACAUGGCCCAGACUCCUACGGGAGGCAGCAGUGGGGAAUAUUGGACAAUGGGCGAAAGCAUGAUCCAGCAAUGCCGCGUGAGUGAUGAAGGCCUUAGGGUUGUAAAGCUCUUUUAACCGGGAUGAUAAUGACAGUACCGGGAGAAUAAGCUCCGGCUAACUACGUG
rnacentral:rRNA from 1 species